UAUGAGAUCCAUCCAAAAGUCUCUCCACUAAGGACUGUCAAUAAAUCAACAAACAAAUCAGAAAUUAAGAGAGAUGGAAUCUGCAAUAAAUGGGAGACCUCCACCAAAGCUUAAAGUGUUCAUCAGUUUCCGUGGCAGCGACGUUCGCGACAGCUUCUUAGGUAUUCUCAAAGAGAGGUUAAUCAAGAACGAAGUCAAUGUGGAAACGGACGAUAACGCAGAGAGAGGGAAACCAAUUAGUGAGAAUCUGUUGAAGCUAAUAAGAGAAUCGAGUAUCGCAAUGGUGUUUGGACGAGUUGGUGGAGAUCAAGAAACAAAUGGAUCUGAGGAAGCUUGAUCCUCUUCCCAUCUUCUUUGCUGUAAAUGCCUCCCACGUCAAACUUUAUGGAGCAAGUCGUUUCAAGGAGAAUCUCAAGUGGUUGGAAGAUGAAGAACGCCAAAAGGCAAGAAAGGUUAGUACACAAGCCUUGGAGGAUGCGGAGAGGAGGUUCCUUAGCUGGAGGGAAGCUUUGGAAUCUGUCACGAAGUGCAUGGGAUUGACCUAUAAACCGGAGCCGUUCUACUCCUUGAAGGGAGUUUUGGUAUCUUUUGCCAUUUGCCUCGGCUUGCCCAUUAACAGCUGCGGCCAAAGAGCCCAAGACGUCCUUGUUGAUAAAAUCGUUGAGAGUGUGAAAGAAAUGCUAUACAAGAUUAUGCCGCAAUAUCCAGUGUUCCUUAGUUUCCGAGGUCUAGAUAUCUACUACAAAUUCGCUAGCUCUCUCAAAGCUGCCAUGAAAGAGAGUCACACCAACGUCUUGGUUGAAAAAGAACACAGUGGAAAAGAAUCCUUAGUUGGUAAGUUUAAGGAGAUUGAACAGUCUAGGAUUUUUUUUUUGUAUGAAUGUUAAAUUAUAUUCACCAAAAAACCGUUCUACAGAAUUCUUUAAAACUGUAAUUGAAAAGAAACUGAGAAAAUCAAAAAAUCAAAAAGAUGAACUAUUUAGACAGGAUGGGUAUGAAACCAGUACUGCAGACCACUCUCGUAACCGGGGGAGACUGUUAACGUGAGUAGUCGAUUCCGGACCGUCUUAACGAUGAAGCGGCACAAGUUGGAGGUUGAGGUGGGGGCUUCGCCAUGACGUUGAGCAUUGCGUUCCCUCCAGAUACUAUGAAUCGUAGCCUGAAACACGUAUCGCAGAACGAACAAAUGGGGCCGAGGUGUGGACGAGUCAAGGAGCAGAGUAGCCAACGAGUCCCAGGUCGUGGUAAACCGGACACCAAGCAAGCCACUAGCCAAAGUCGACCAAACAUGUGAGGAAUAGGAGCAAGAGAAAAAUAGAUGGUUUCUAGUUUCCACAUGUCCUUGGCAGAGAACACAAGCACCGUUUGCUCCUGGAUUCCAUUGAAGUAGUUUGUCUCCUGUUGAGAGCCUGUUAUAAAAAGCAAGCCAGGUGACAAAUGAGAACUUAGGGGUGGAGUGAGUGAACCAAACACCUUUAGACCAAUCCCAAGGAGGGUGAUGUUGCCUAAUCAGAUGCCAGGUAUCCAGAGAGGAGAACUUGCUCUUGAAAGAGCCAUUACGCUGUUUCCAAAGAGGACGAUCAUCACCUUGUUGUUGCACUGAACCACAAAUAGAAUGAAGCUCCGUUUCAAGAUUGUUUAAAAGAACAGUCUAGGAUUGCAGUUGUGAUCUUCACUAAGACUUACACGAGGUCGCGAUGUUGCUUGGAUGAGCUAACGGAGAUUAGAAAAUGCGUGGACAAGAACGUGAUGCGACUCAUUCCUAUCUUCUACGAGGUGGACCCAAUGGACAUGAUUCUCGAUGACCAGCUAGUAGAGAACUGGACUAGAUAUGAAGACAAAAUCAACCAAUGGAAGAGCUCUUUAGAGUUUGUUGCUACCACUAAAGAUAAAAUUUUAUAUCCACGAACUAAACUAGAGGUUGAUUUUAUUGAAGAAAUCGUCCAAGAAGUUAAGAAUGUGUUAGUCAACACUUUAAUCAAGGAGUCAGUUUCUUCUUCUGCAAUGUCUUCCAAAUCUUUCUGAUCUUCUUUUUGAAUGUUUAUUUUCAGCUGUAAUGUAUACUUCUUAGUUAUUACAAAAUUAAAGUUAAAGUUGUAAAGUAGUCCAAGUCUACAUCAAACUUAAGCUUAAUGGGAUCAAGAACUUUGGCAUCAAACUCUGUAUCCAAGAUUUUUAAGCUGCAAAUGAGUAAAAAUAUGUUGCAAG